rnacentral:tRNA from 1 species
CAGCGGGUAGUUUAUAAAAAUGUUAAUUUUGGAGAUUAAUGAUAAGGUGAUUUCCUUUCCGUUGA